AGCGAACGAGGGAGGAAGGAGGAACACAUGCAAGUCGAACGAACCUUUCGGGGUUAGUGGCGGACGGGUGAGUAACACGUGGGAACGUGCCUUUAGGUUCGGAAUAACUCAGGGAAACUUGUGCUAAUACCGAAUGUGCCCUUCGGGGGAAAGAUUAAUCGCCUUUAGAGCGGCCCGCGUCUGCUUAGCUAGUUGGUUGAGGUAAUGGCUCACCAAGGCGACGAUCAGUAGCUGGUCUGAGAGGAUGAUCAGCCACAUUGGGACUGAGACACGGCCCAAACUCCUACGGGAGGCAGCAGUGGGGAAUCUUGCGCAAUGGGCGAAAGCCUGACGCAGCCAUGCCGCGUGAAUGAUGAAGGUCUUAGGAUUGUAAAAUUCUUUCACCGGGGACGAUAAUGACGGUACCCGGAGAAGAAGCCCCGGCUAACUUCGUG
rnacentral:rRNA from 1 species